rnacentral:rRNA from 1 species
UACAGAGGGGGCGAGCGUUAAUCGGAAUUACUGGGCGUAAAGCGUGCGUAGACGGUCGUGCAAGUCGGGUGUGAAAGCCCCAGGCUCAACCUGGGAAUUGCAUUCGAGACUGCUCGGCUAGGGUGCGGAAGAGGGAAGCGGAAUUUCCGGUGUAGCGGUGAAAUGCGUAGAUAUCGGAAGGAACACCAGUGGCGAAAGAGGCUUCCUGGUCCGACACCGACGGUCAGGCACGAAAGCGUGGGGAGCAAACAGG